rnacentral:rRNA from 1 species
AUUGAACGCUGGCGGCAUGCUUUACACAUGCAAGUCGAACGGUAACAGGCCUUCGGGUGCUGAAGAGUGGCGAGCGGGUGAGUAAUGCAUCGGAACGUACCCAGAGGUGGGGGAUAACGCAGCGAAAGCUGUGCUAAUACCGCAUGUGAUCUGAGGAUGAAAGCGGGGGACCGAGCAGCAAUGUUUGGCCUCGCGCCUUUGGAGCGGCCGAUGUCGGAUUAGCUAGUUGGUGGGGUAAAGGCCUACCAAGGCGACGAUCCGUAGCUGGUCUGAGAGGACGACCAGCCACACUGGGACUGAGACACGGCCCAGACUCCUACGGGAGGCAGCAGUGGGGAAUUUUGGACAAUGGGCGCAAGCCUGAUCCAGCAAUGCCGCGUGCGGGAAGAAGGCCUUCGGGUUGUAAACCGCUUUUGGCAGGAACGAAACGGUGUCCGCUAAUACCGGGCGCUAAUGACGGUACCUGCAGAAUAAGCACCGGCUAACUACGUG